rnacentral:tRNA from 1 species
UCGAAAUGGCUCAGGAAUUGUUGGAGUCGAUCGAGUCUUCAUCGAUCGGUUAGUCGCUGGUCGAUCGGCACUGGUGCUAGUUCGGUGUCGUGAA